CAUAAGAUUGUAGUAUCGCAUGAUAUAGCAAUUAAAGGAGCAAUCGCUAUAAGAUGGACCCGCGUCGCAUUAGCUAGUUGGUGAGGUAAUGGCUCACCAAGGCGACGAUGCGUAGCCGACCUGAGAGGGUGAUCGGCCACAUUGGGGACUGAGACACGGCCCAGACUCCUACGGGAGGCAGCAUG
rnacentral:rRNA from 1 species